UACGUAGGGUGCAAGCGUUGUCCGGAAUUAUUGGGCGUAAAGAGCUCGUAGGCGGCUUGUCAGCGUCGACUGUGAAAACCCGGGGCUCAACUCCGGGCCUGCAGUCGAUACGGGCUGGCUUGAGUGCGGUAGGGGAGACUGGAAUUCCUGGUGUAGCGGUGAAAUGCGUAGAUAUCAUUUGGAACGCCAAUGGUGAAAACAGGUAACUGGGAGUGUGCUGACGCUGAGACACGAAAGCCAGGGGAGCAAACGGG
rnacentral:rRNA from 1 species